rnacentral:lncRNA from 1 species
UCGCAGACACCUGGGACGAGAGUGACUGCAGGUUCCUCAACUCCCUGUGAAAAAAGCAUGCGGACUGUGGAGCUGCCACUUCCCAUGAUCUCAGAGAGUUCAUGUGCAUCCAGGUAGAUCAUUACAUUCUACAAAUGCAGAAGACGGAAAUUUGACUUCGGAGUAAUGGAAACACUGUCUUAGGUCUACCAGGGAUUCUUAAGGCUUGUUCCCAAU